rnacentral:lncRNA from 1 species
UUUUUUAUUAUUUUUUUUUUUUGGUAGUAAUUAUUCCACAAUUUGGGAUGUUACAUAGUGUACACGAGUUUACAACUCAACAAAUAGUCCUUAGCAUGUAUCAAGAUGAUACAAAAAAGACUCACAAUAAAACAGAACUAAACUUGCAUCAACAUAAUACAAGAGUAGAACACACAACGACUCAAAACCCUAAAAACUAAACCUUUUUAGUUUGACGGCUUGAAUAAAUAAUUAGGUCUUGAAGUCUUGAAUAUAUACUGAAGCAAUACGGGUCAAAUAAACGGUUUGGGCUUCAGAACAAAGCAGAUCGUCCAGCUGAUCUGCAACACACGAAUCAGUACCAACAAAAGGAAAGUCCUAAAAAGUAAGAACAUCUUUAGGAACUUACAAACAGAUCCAAAUGAUUCCUAAAAUAUUACCAAUCUUUUAGGAAUAAUAAAACAACUUAUUUUGUGCAGAUAUGCGUGUUGGUUGGUCAAUAAGAUAAGGAAAUAUGGUUUCCUUAAAUAAUACUAGGUGCGUGUACAAGUAGGCAUGAACCCAGGCAUACUAAACCGUGCCAGAAUGUUGGAACAUCGUAUCCAACAUCAUACAUGAGUAUUUGUUUUAGCAACAAUGAAGUCAAUACUCAAAUAUCCAACAAUCUCCCCCUUUGGAUUUAUUUGUUGUUAAAACAAACUGAGGCCAUACAGACAAGAUAGAGAGAUACCACACAUACAUUUCUUCAAUCCAUAAUCAUGAAGAAAAGUAACAAAACUGCAAAACGGACAUGUUGAAUCAUCAUCCAGCACAUGUUGGAACAAAGUAUCCAACAUCACAAACAUGGAUAUUUGUUUUAGCAAUAAUGCAGUCAAUACAAAUACUCAACGGUUUCUUUACAAAGAGAUAUCAAAGGGUUACAAGAAUCAAUUUUAAACCUAAUUCUAUCCAAAGUCAUGAAUCUCUUCUCGUAACCAUGAGACUCUAUCCUAAAAGUGUUUUAUUCAAGGUGAAUCAAAACAAUCCCAACCCUAGUGUUUGUUGCCAAGAGAAAUCUCUAUAAACCAUAGUUUGGUGUUGGCUUCUAAACCUUAUUUUUCUGCUCUCUCUCUAUCUCUCUUUUUUUAUCUAAUACAACGUCUAUAUUUAUAGUACAAGCAUCCCUCAAAAUUUUGAACAAAUCCACGUUGAAAAAUACGUUUAUGUUUUUCGGCAUCAGCAUAAAAUCGUGCUACAAUUUUUUACGAAUGAGAAGUGUCAAUUCUGGUCCAAAAUCGGGCUACGAUUUUGGCAGAUUCCCAACCUUCAAUUUUGAGUCACUUUCUAACAUUUCUCCACCUUGACUCUAAAUUAGUGAUAAUUCCAAUUUAAACAUCAAUCACUUUUCUACUCCCUCCAUUUUAUUUUUCCUUGCUUCCAACUGCACCAAGUAGCUCCACAAGCUUCCAAACCCUUGCCUCUUCAACCCUCGGAAUGCCUUCCUCCCUAUUGAAGAUCACCCUUGCAUCCAACUACACUAGGCAUUUUAGGUAGUUCGACAAGUCUACACGACAAACCUCUUUAGCUCCCCAGAGUGAUCAAAUUUGUCCUCCUGAAGAUUCACAAUCCAUGCCAUACAUUUUUCAAAUCCCGAAUGCCUUUCGUCCUCUUGAAGAACUCCCUUGCUCACAACGAGCCUAGAACCCAAGGUCUCCAUAGUUGUACCAUUUCCAGUGUCAUCAACUCCACCUCAAGUUGAGCUUUCUAUAUCUACCUCAACUUGAAAUGCAUUCAUCCACUAUGACUUUCACCUUGCAAUGUAUCAACUAAUGGCACAAAAACAAGUUUCUAAGCUAACAGUUCUCCUAAGUAAAAAAUAAGGAUAAAAAAGUGCAAGUGUGAAAGCACAUGGAUUAAUAUACACUUUAAGAGAAAACACUAUAUUGCUUGAAUUACAAGUUAUUCCAUGCCACGAAUCUGGCCAACAAACAGUUAAUUUUUAAACUAGAAAGCAAUUCCUUCCUUUGAAGGAAAGUUUGAAGAUACCAUUAACUAACCAAACAAAUUAAUGUUUCUGUGUUAUGGGGAUGAAUGCAAGUUUAAUUAGAGGAAAAGAUCAAAUUGAAUUUGUUUUCCUUUCGUAAAUUGAAUUAAUGUGCUAUUAUCAUUUUGAUUAUGCAUCAUUACAGCAUUGUCAACGUCCCAUGUGUUGAGUUUGGUAAUAUGAAUACUCUGUACAAUCAAUUUGUUGAGAAAGAUAUCAAAGAGUUUGAAGCAUUCCAUCUUGCUAUUCUUGAUAACUUCAGCUAAGCAUGAGCUUCCAAUUGAAAAUUAACCAUAUGUUAAUUUAUUGCCUUUGAAUGUUUAGAAAAAGAAGAUAAUUCAAAAUUAUAUUUCAUAGAAAUGUUAUAUUUAAAAUACAUUUGGAUGAUAAUAUGCGCUAAUUUUAAUAUUUUGCACACAAUCAAUUUUAUUAUUUUAUCAUCUAAUCAUACCUAUGGAAACAACGGUGGCAACAUUACAUUAGUUUGACUGGAACUAGAAUCAGAUCUCUUAAGAAAAGUCUCAGAAUUCAAGACUUGAAUGAAAAAAUGUGGUUAGAGGACGACAAAAACCAGUGGAUACUUCGCAACACCAAUGAAGCAUGAUAAAAUAUGGCAUAGUGUGCAUUGUCACAAUAAUUAGUUUCACAUUAUCACCAUAAAAAUAUUUAUACUUGCAAGUAAAUUUGAUGCAGCACUAUCAACUAGCUAUACACGGGAAGCAUUAUGAUGCUCCAUCUAUUAGAGUAUAGUGAGAAUUAACUAGAGUUACUUAGUGGUAACUAUAGUAGAAAGUUAGUUAGGGAGUUAGUUACUCCAAAUCACUAUAAAUAAGCUACACCUAUGUACUAUUUCAUAUCUUUUAUCAAAUCUAGUUUACUCUACUAUGAGUUUCUAUGAGUAUCUCCCUCAUGAGUACUCUUAUGCUUGCUUUCUUGCUUAUCACUAUGAUCUUUAUCCUUGGGAUUCCAUGAUUACUAACAUGGUAUCAGAGCGAUACCCUAGGGAUGAAGAUGAUGAUGCUUCCGCUAUCGAUUCAACAUACUGAUGAGUAAAACCGCAAGUGCACGGUUCUACCGAAGUAGUAAAAAUAGAGUAUCAUUCCAAUAGGGAGUUGUUCAAUUUAAUUAACUUUUAGAAGAUGCUUAGAAGAAAAUUCAGUUCUAAAGGUUUGGUUUUUAACGGAAGAAAAUAAUAAUAAAAAGAGUCUUGUGAUCAUUGGUUCAUCUUAAUGACAACCCCUUCACAAACAAACUCUAAACCUAAACUUUAUAUUGGACCUACUUUCUAAAGACGAGUUUCUCUUAAGCGUAUAAAAGUUUUUCUCGAAAUCAUUGAGUGUGUUCCUCUAGCAAUCACGCCUAUUCUCAUGGUUGAUUGCUAUUAGAAUCCUUGAAGAACGAAACUUUAUAUGUCUCAAGGUGCUAAACUAUUCUCAUGUUUCCCAACCCUUGUCUAAUUUCACUUGUUCCAAUAUCAAAGCUCCGCGUUCGCGUUAUGAAUUGAUAUUUGAGAUGAUGAAUUAACAAAUACUAACCCUCCGCAUUCGCUUUAUGAGUUUGGUAUUUGUUAAUUCAUUAUAAAAACGGUGAAAUUAAAUUAGAAAGUAUAUUUAAGGGUUUAUGGUUUGGUUUGAUUAGGAUUACGUUAUUAGACUUAUCCAACAAUCUCAAUACAAGAAGAGUCUACUCACUCAUGUUCAUCGUAGACAUAGAAGAGAAGAAGAAGAACAUAAAAUAACAAGAAAGUAAAAGAAAGAACUUUUAUUAAGAAAGACAAUUGUCACUAUUGAAUUCCAAGAACAAAAGAUGAAUUGUUGUGAUAGCUAGCUACUCUAUUUAUAGUUUACAAUGACUUAAGCUCUAAGAAAUACAUCACUAGAAUGUUCCACAAGAAAACACAGGCUUUUAGGUCAGAAGUAAACGAAUAGGUAACUUGUCUGGGAAGCAGAAAAGGAGCAAAAGAGAUCCUGAAGGUUGGAUCGAUCGUGUGGCUGGUGGCACGGGCUGUGCCAGGUCUCUUACUUGGGGGAUGUUAUAUUUUUGCACCGAAUCUUCGUAUUUUCAUCCCGAAUCAGCUCCAAAUCCCUUUCUUUUGCUCCAAGACUCAAUCUUUAGAAUAUUUGUUCUUUAAAUUAAAUAACUUAGAAUUGAAGUAAAAUAAUUCUAAAAAGGAAAUAAACUUAAAUAAAAUAAACUCAAAUAUAUAAAUAAAACGGACUCAAAUAUUAUAUUAAAAACACUAAUUAUCAACUCAUCACAUACGAUGAAGAGGAAGAUGCAGAAUCUGAAGGUACUCUCACGGUUUCUGCACAACCUAUGGAAUAUUCAGCUUCUCAUGUUCAUUUCACUUUCGGUAGUUUCGAGUCUCCAAUUCAACCGAUUUCUAAUCCUUCAGUCGAACAAAAAUUCGUUGGAUUCUCCAUCAAGAUUGGUGAGAUUUCUUGCGCAGUUGUCGAUCCUUGCUGCAACAUCGUCAAAGAAGACGAUUGUGUGUUCGUUGAUUCGCAAGAAAAUGAGAAAUUGGAGAUUCUUGAACCUGAAUUGAAGAAUCGCUACUCUAAUUUUGUUGUUUCUGAAGCGUCGCAAGAGUUCAUCAUAGCUUUACCGGUGAGAUUGUGGAGCGCUGUUUACGGCGUCACCACCGUGAGGCCUAUCAUGAUGUUGCUGGUAUUGUGAUGAAGAAAUGUUCUUGUUGUUGAUGGCCAUAUGAGGACAAACACCAUUGAUGUUUGCAACAAGUAGAAAACAAAUUGUUCCUCUAAUGAAAGAAGAAACCAAAUUGUUGUUGUUGAAAUUCAAUUCCCAUUUUAGUUUGAAAAAUUUGAUUAACAAUAAACCAUAGCUUAGAUUUUCUUAAGUAAAAAAAAUAAAAAAUCUACUUGAGUCUAAAAUAUGUUGUUGGAUGAUGAAUUUUAUUGGUGUUUCAGUUUGAGUUUUGAGUAUGAAGUUUUGUGUUGCUGCUGGAAUUUUUUUGUUUGUUAUGGGGAUGAAGUUGGAAGAUGAAGAGGAAGGUGAAGAUUAUUUGUGAUUUUUAAUUUUAAGAAAUUAAAGAAAAAUAAGGAAAUAUAAUAGAAAUUAUCAUAUAUAUUGAGUCCAUUGUAUAUUUGUGAGUGCUUAUUAAAUCCAACCAUUGAUUAUCAAUCUUAAGUGACAUGUGGCAACAGUUAACGGUUUUGACAAAAAAGUUAACGGAGAGGACUAAUUUGAUUAACAAAGUAUAAAUAAGGGAUCAAAUUGAGACGUUUUAAAGUUAUGAGACCAUUUUGAAAAAAAGAAUUAAGUUAAGGGACCAAAUGAUGUAUUAAACCGAAAAAAUAAGUCAACAUAAAUUGAUGUAUUUGAUAUAAAUUUUAAACCAAGUACAUUAGUUCUUGUUGACCGAUUUAUGGUUAUAUUUUGGGACGGUGUGAAUAUAUUUUUAAUAAAUCUUCCUUAGCUGAUUAAAAACAAAACUGAUAGAUGUUUUGAAUGUAGGAUAGUAAAAAUAUAUUAUUUUUUACGCAGGAUUGUAAAAAUAAUUUAGAAUCCUUUUCUAUGACAUUAUUCGAUUUAAUGUAAUAAACCAGAUGAUUGAAUGAGAGUAAUAAAUUAAUCUAUCUGGUCACUUGAUUAAUAUUCAUGUUGUCAUAAGAAUAAGCUUGCCUUAAGAAUUGCACAUUUUGAGUGUUCUUUAAUCUUUCUCACGUGUGUAACCUACUUUACAGAUAAUGAGCUGAAUAUAGUAUCUCCAAACAAGAAUAAUGUGAUCUUUGUCUAUGUCCAUCCCUGGUCUGGUUCUACAGAAUAUUCUCUGUAAAGGCUAAUGACAAAGAGGAAAAAACAAAUGGUGCUCACAUUGUAAUAAUGAUUGUUUUGUAUUUAAUUUGUUUGGCAUAACUUAAAACAAUUUAUUUAUAGAGUUGUUGUAACUUUGUUUUUUUGGUAACAGUUGUAACUUUGUUUGGCAUAACUUAAACAAUUUAUUAAGUUUUUAUAUUUAUUUAUAGAAUUGUACUAAAAAUUAGGAAUGAGUAGUUUGACUGGUUUGAGAGUCGGAGACUCUAGUUUUAACUGCAAACCAAGCAAUGUGGUCAAUAGUUUAACGGUAGUGUUAACUUGUGCUUUUAAGGUACAUGUUAAGAAACAUAAAAGAAAAAAUAUUCUCUAAAAUUAUGUGCAUUCAAUUCAUUAAAAAGUUAAAGAUUAAAUGUAAUGCACAUUUUUCAAUAAACUAUUUAUAUUUGAUUCAUUCACUUGUGCCAUAAGAGCACAAGUUAGUAUUUUUCAUAGUUUAAUUAAUCAAAAAAUUAUUAGUAGAUUAAUAAUUUUUAAUAGAAAUUUGUUGAAUAUAAAUUUACUAGCUGAUUUUUUAUUUAUUUUUUGGGCUAAAUUGCAUUUUUGGUCCCUUAACUAUUUAAUUAGUAUCGCUUUUGAGCCUUAGUUAAAAUUUGAUUUAUUUUGGUAUCUUAACUUUCUCUCCUUACACAUUUUGGUCCUUUUCGUUAGUUUUAAUUCAAAAACGUUAGAUUUUCUUCAUCCUCUUCUCCUCCUCUUCAUCUUCACAUCAUCUCCGUCAACCUUCAACAACAAAAAUUCGAGAAAAAUUCGAGAAGAAAAGAAAGAAAAUCUAACGUUUUUGAAUUAAAACUAACGAAAAGGACCAAAAUGUGUAACUCAGAGAAGUUAAGAUACCAAAAUAAAUCAAAUUUUAAUUAAAGGACCAAAGUGAUACUAAUUAAAUAGUUAAGGGACCAAAAACAUUUAACCUAUUUUUUUUCUAUUUUAUCAAUUGAUCAAUACAUACUCAAAUAAAUUACAUAGGCAAAAAGAAACUCAACCAUAAAGCAUUAAUUAGGGGCAUAAUUUAAACAACUCUAAAUAUUACAUUUUUCACAAGUUUAAUUUCUUCACAACUCAUUUCCUUUAAGUUUAAUUUGUCUAUAUCACUCACACUAUCCACGGCAGUUGCAACAUCGUAAUUGCAAUAAAAUCCUUCAUUGUUGGAUUCAUCAGCAUCUUCAUCACUUUAAGUAUUUUCUUCCUCUACACCAUAACUGUUGUCCAAGCCCUAUAAGUCAAAUUUUAACAUCAAAUUUAUAACAUUAUUUGCAUCCAUUGAAUUAAUUUGGAUCCUCUCAAGAAUUUGAAAAUUCCAUUUCGAGAGAGAUGGAGAGCAUAGCACUAUUUGAUGCAUUGAAUAGUUUAAUCACAAAAUUACCUACUCUCUCUCUCAAAAAAAAACCGCUUAAAUUUACUACUUCUUUUUAAGAUAAGCUAAUAAUCCACAUACACCCUCAAUUAAAUAAAUAAUCAAACAGAAAAUUUAUAAUACUACACUACACUUUUCAGUUAAAAAAAAUGUUCACCUCUUCUGGGUUACCUCCAGCGAAUUCGGUUUCUGGCUCUUCAUAAAAAAUAGUCAAAAUUUAAUCUACAUCCAUUAUGUCUUUAGAUUGUAGUACUUGAUCAAAUUAAUUUUCAUUAAAACAAAGUAGCAUAAUAGUGAACUAAUUCCAUUAUAAAAUUUGUAAUUUUCAAAUGUCAAUUUCACAUUAUAACAUUUCAAAAUCAAUAUAAUUUAUUUGUUAAAAAAAAAAAAACCUACAACAUUUCUGCAUUUGCAUUUCUGUUUCAGAAAUAUUGUAAGAUAAGAAAUCAAUGUAAAUCUUACCUUUCUAGGAACGAAAUUUGUGUCAGAUCUAAUUGUUUAUGCCUGAUUCAGCAACACUUUAACUUAAUUCUAAAACUACCUUUGAAGAAAUUAACAAGUUGUUGAACUAAAGAAGAAGAGUUGAUGUUCUUUGUUCGAAACUGAGUAGGGUACGCGAGAAGAAGAAUAGUUGAUGUUAAGCUUUUUUUUUCUGGGUUUUCUUAUGUUGUGAGUUCUUUGAGUUCUUUGCGGUACACGAGAAGAAGAACAUAAUUUGAUGUUUUAAUCAAUAACCAGUGUGUGACAAGUACUUUGUGUAACGCCCUAUUUGACUAUUUGAUUAUUUUAUUGAGUUUAGAGUCUAUUUUUAUGACUUAUGUGAUUUAUAUGAUAAUUGUGAUGUGUUGUUGAUUUACUAAGUGGCUUAUUUUAUUAUUUAAUAGAAUAAGAUUUGAAAAUAAAAUAAAAUUAAGUUGUGGGGGCUGUUUUGGAGUUUAGAAGAGUUUAGUGGAAUAUUUGGAAAUAAGAUAAAGAGGGCUGAGGGAAUAAAUAGGAGAAAGUAGGUCAUAAUAGUUUUUACGUGAAACAAUUAUUUGGAGAAAAAGGGAGAAAACAAGAGAAGAGAAGAACCUAAGAGGAGAAGCUUGCAAUUGACUAACCUAAGGUAAGGGUGGGACUAAACUUCUUUAAUUGUAAGUUGUGUAAUUCUGAAAUUGGAUUUAACAUGUUGUAGGAUGUAGUUUUGGAGAUUUAAGAAUUAGGUUAAAAGUUGGAGAAUUGGUCAAUUAGGAGUAUAAACCUGUUAAAUUGAUGUAAAAAUAGUGUCAAGACCUUAGACUAUUCAUAGAACAAUGAUUAGAAUCAGUUUUAAGGUUAGAACCAUUGAAUUGGAUGAGUUUUGAGAAAAUCUGCACUUCUGCCCGAGCUGUCAUUCAUCGCUCGCCAUAGCGAGCAGAUGAUCUCGCCUCGCGAGUGAUGAACUUCAUCGCUCGCCUUGUGAGUAAAACCCCUCGCCUCGCGAGUGAACUUUUUGUCGCUCGCCAUUGCGAGUGAAUCACUCGCCAUAGCGAGUUGCCUAGUAAGGAAAACGUGAUUUUGUGGAUUGAUGUUAGAGGUCAAAUUUUAGAUGGUUUUGAGUGUCUUAACCUGUUUAGGAAUGAUUAUGAAAGUUUUUAGAUUUAAUUUGGACAUAGUGAAGUCAGAAAAUGGGAUUUUUGAGUGAAAAAUGUCAAACUCCCGAGAGCAAUCAGAUUUAGCUCGCCAUGGCAAGUAGCUAACUCGCCAUAGCAAGUACCCUUUUUCCUGAACUCGCCAUAGCGAGUAUAGUGGCUCGCCUCGCGAGCUACUCAGUGGCAGUCAACCUUGUUUAGGGUUCUUGCGAUCUUUGUCGCGCAUGAUGUUGAGAGUUGAUCUUGGGGUAGAGAUGGAAGUUAGUUAUUAAGUUACAGGCAUACAGAGAACCUAAAUCAAAUGAUUAAUGACUGUUGAAUUGUUUAAAAUAUUUGUAUAAUGUGUUGAAAAUGUAUGAUAUGGAAAUUAUUAUUGUUUAUAUCAUUCUAGUUAUUAUUGAUGUUGCUAUGUUGCAAGAUAUUUAUGUUGAUGUCUCUGCUGUUGAUGAAUCAUUAUAGUCAUUAAGUUGCAAGUGUUGGUUUAAGUUGUAAAGUUGUAAGUUGUUAUUCCAAGAUAUUGGAGUCAUAUAAGUUGUUACGUAUUUAUUAUGAUUUAUGUUGAAGAUUUGUUUAAACUGGAUUAUUAAUAAGUUAUUUAAGUUGAGACCAUUGUGCCAACACGAUGUUGAACUUAGUUGUUUUCCGCUGCAAUAAGAUUUAAUUUGAUGACAUAUGAUGAUUGAAAUAUAUAGUAAUUUUGCUAUAUUUAUGAUUAUAAGAAGUGUAACAUCCUGUUUAGUUGUUUUACUCUGAUUUAUGCAAAAAAAUUCAAAUUGGAAAAACGGGGUGUUACACUUUAUGGUAUACUGAAGAAAUGAGGAGAUGCAAUAGUAAGCUUGAAAAAACAUUAAAAUAAUAAAUUGAGUUUUUUUUUAUUGUUUUUGUUGCCAGUUCAAAAUCGACAGAUGUCCUGGGUAAAGGUACUUUUUCAUAGUGGAAAAAAAGUCUCAAUUCUCAAAUUAAACGGCACCAUAAGUUCAUUGUGCUAUUUUUUUUAAGGAAAGUUCAUUGUGCUAUUGAAACACAACUUUGAACACCAACGCCGUAGACCUACUAAAUACACUAUAGAAACGUUAGUCUUUCUCUCUUCCCUUCCAUUUUUUCUUCUAUCUUUCUCUUUCUACUUUUGCUAGAGUCGUAGUAAAAUACAUUUUAAAUUUUGCAUAAUAACUAAAUCUGAUCACUUCCAUAACCCAACAACAUGAUAUAAAGAGUCCUAAUUUUUUCUUUAAAAGCACAAUCGAUUUAUUAUUAAUAUUUUUCUCAACAUAAGCAAUAGACUUCUUAAAUCUUGUUUUAGGCUACAAAGCUCUAUUAAUGGCAUAUAAUUGUUGAGAGUGAUAAAAGUGAUAGAAUAGAUGCGAAAAAUUGAUGAUGUGAUCGAAAGAGAGUUAAAAAAAUAUAUACUAAAUAUAAGUUUGAAAAUAAACAGUGUAUAAAUCUUAUAUGGAUAAGGCUAAAGAAUGUCUUAAGGACAUGUGUUAAGCAUUCAAAAAUUUAUAAAUAUUUAUAAAAUAAAAAAAAAUAAGUGAUAUAAUCAUUAUAUGACUAAAAGUACUCCUCCAUCUUAAAUUAAAUGAAUCAUUUCAUUAUUUCACAUAUAUUAAAAAAAAUAUAUAACUGUAAAAGAGCGAAAAUAUAGUUUUAAAUAACUUUGUUAAGUAUUGAUUGAUUUGAGUUAUGAUAAUAUGAGACAAAAUAUUAUAGACAUAUACGACACCACAAUAUUAUUACAUUUUUUAUUUUUAUUUUUAAAUUUUUUUCCUUUUUCUCUUUCUUCCUUUACCUUCUAUCUCUUGUAUUUCUCUCCAUCAUUGCCGACGACCAGCAUCCUUCAUGCUCUCUAUCACACCUCACUUCUCAUCGACAACCAACCAUCGACGCCGUCUUCGUCAUUCUCUCUCGCACACACACACACACGUGACCUCUAUAACCGCCGAGUUCUCACCGGAGACGACCGACCGACGUCGUUCUCGGCAUCUCUCACACACUUCUCACCGGCAACCACACUAACAACAUCAACAUCAACAUCGUUCUCUCGCUGCUGAUCUAACUGUCGUUGCCUGAACUCUAAGUGGGAUAUGGAAUUUUUAAGCCGUCGUAACUCCACCGUCUUCAACAAAACAGUGGUUGUAUGGGUAAGAGAGCUCUGAGGAAGGAGAAAGAGAUAGAGGAAGGCGUGUGAGAUUCAGGCUAAAUGGGAGAAAGUAAUGCAGUUUGCAAUUACUCCUUUGCCCUUUCUUAUAUGUCAAAAUUACAGGAAUACCCUUAAAGUGAUACAGUGUCUGC